rnacentral:rRNA from 1 species
GACAGAGGUGCCGAGCGUUAGGCGGAAUCACUGGGCUUAAAGCGUGUGUAGGCGGGUCGUUAAGUGUCUUGUGAAAUCCCACCGCUCAACGGUGGAACUGCUGGGCAUACUGGCGAUCUUGAGCCACCUAGGGGCAGACGGAACAAGCGGUGGAGCGGUGAAAUGCGUAGAUAUCGCUUGGAACGCCGACGGUGAAAACAGUCUGCUGGGGGUGUGGCUGACGCUGAGACACGAAAGCCAGGGGGGCGAACGGG